GUGCCACUGCAGUUUAAUAACAACAAUGGCUGGAUCCAUUUAGCCGCGGCCAUUUCCCUCAAAUUUUUUAGUGGUCUGCUGUCGCUUACUUCGGUGUCUGUCGCUUUCUGAGUAUACUUCCGGAAAAUUUUCAGAAAACUAGCAAGUAAUGCAGAGGAGACGGCGGUUUCUCUGCUCCCUUGGUUCCAGGCUUCUCUGUCCCUUUGUUCCAGGUUUAACUGUUCCCUUGGUUCCAGGCUUUUCACUUCGCAGCAGACAGACAGCAACUAGGACGAUUAAGUGGGUAGGAACUUCAUCUUUUGGCAUUAUGGAUGGGACGUGAGGUUCUGUAGAUGUGGAAUUGUGGAUAGUCAACUGCGACAGGAGUCAGGACCGUCAUUUUCACCAGUCGCCAUAAUGGUGAAUCCAUCAUUUGUUGACAUUCAGGUUAGGUUGACGAAUUCAAAUUUAGCUGCUGCGUGCUGUCUGCAAGGAAGCAAUCCAAUUGGCUGUCGCUAGGUGGCGCUAGUCAAUCUUCAGGGACUAAAUUCGGCCAUUGUGAUCCUUGACGCAGCAGAAGUGAGGUGCCGGUCGUGACGUUUCCCAAAAUGAAAAGGUGAUUUCAAUACCAAUUUGUUAAAUCAUCUAACUCGGACUUGAGUGCCUGUUCAUUUUGCCGUUCAUUUUGCCGAAAUGUGCCUCGUGUGUCUUGCUGCCUGUACACGUACGUCUCGUCCCAUGCAAAAGCAAACGUUCGCUGUUGGUUACCUACUUACCUUGUUGCAGCCUGAUGGUGUAAGAUGUGAUGAAGACUAAUUGAACUGUUGUAUGCAGCGUGUGAUUCCUGUGUUAUCCAGAAGUAGCUGUGCUGGCAGUCUCCUGAAGCAGCCUGAAGCCUGAAGUUGCCAGUGAUAUCCGGGUUGCUGACUUUAAAUAUUUUUUACUGUUAUCUUUUGUGUUAUUUGCUUUGCAAGUGGUAUCCCGUGUUGCUGACUUUAAAUAUUUUUAUCUGUUUUUAUUUGUGGUUUUGCUCUGCCAGUGAUUUGCUGACUUGAAUUGGUUUCAUCUGUUGUCUUUUGCCUUCUUACUUGUGCAAUGUGCAGUAUACGAUUGUGGCAAUCUGACCCCAUGUCAGAUUUGACAUAGUCGA